AUGGAAGCGGAGGGAAUGGAAUUCCUCCUAGACGCGGUGGACAAAUUUCCCGUACGGGAGGAAUUUGCUGACAGCCUUGAGCACCCAGAUCCAGUGCCACUCCUCUAUCUGCUGCAGAAGGGGAGUACAGCAGAAGAUGGCGUUGAGGGCAAUGGUGUCUCUGGGCUGGCUCAAGUGGAGGACGAAGGGGUAGCUGCAGACCGACAAGAUGGUGAACAUCGUCCCCGUGCUGAAUCUCCGGCGAGGUUUGCUCAGUCAACUGACAGGGUGAAUACGCAAGCCCCCGGCUGGACAAAAAGGUCAGAGCACGUGUUGUUCUUCCUUGGUUUUCGUCAUGCAAAAAAUUAUUUCACAUGA
rnacentral:rRNA from 1 species